UUUUCCUAAAAUUUUAAUUUCAAAUUCCUAAAUAAAUUUCAUAAAAAAAAUCUCUAAUCAACAUACAAUGUACAUACCAUUAUUUUUUCUUUCUAAACAUAUUUCAUAAAAUAUAUAUGCUAAAUAAAAUAAUAAAAUAACUAUAAUGAAAUAACAUAAAUUUUAAAUACACAAAUAUUACAAAAAAAUUAAAUUUAUAAAUAAAAUUACCUUUUUUUCUUUUUUUUUCCUUUCCUCUUCUUCUUCUUUUUUUUCUCUUCUCCUUUCCUUUUCUUUCCUUCUUUCUUUCUUUUUUCUUCUCUUUUCCUUCUCUUCUUCUUCUUUCUUUCUUUUUUUCUCUUCUCCUUUCCCUUUCUUUCCUUCUUUUUCUUUCUUCCCUCUCCUUUCUUCCUUUCUUUCUCUCUUUCUUCCUUUCUUUCCCUCCCCUUCUGUUAAUUGUUAUAGAAAAAAUUAUAAUACGAAAUAUUAAUUAUUUUAUUUAGGCAAAGUUAUAAGUAUAUGCCGACUUCAGAAGAAAGAACAACC
rnacentral:lncRNA from 1 species